rnacentral:rRNA from 1 species
UACGUAGGGUGCGAGCGUUAAUCGGAAUACUGGGCGUAAAGCGUGCGCAGGCGGUUCGUCGUGUCUGAUGUGAAAUCCCCGGGCUCAACCUGGGAACUGCAUCCAAAACUGGCAAGCUAGAGUAUGGUAGAGGGUGGUGGAAUUUCCUGUGUAGCGGUGAAAUGCGUAGAUAUAGGAAGGAACACCAGUGGCGAAGGCGACCACCUGGACUGAUACUGACACUGAGGUGCGAAAGCGUGGGGAGCAAACAGG